rnacentral:rRNA from 1 species
AGGGCACCACCAGGAGUGGAGCCUGCGGCUUAAUUUGACUCAACACGGGGAAACUUACCCGGCCUGGACACUGGAAGGAUUGACAGAUUGAGAGCUCUUUCUUGAUUCAGUGGGUGGUGGUGCAUGGCCGUCCUUAGUUGGUGGAGCGAUUUGUCUGGUUAAUUCCGAUAACGAACGAGACUCUAGCCUAUUAAAUAGGCUCCCGGCUUUUAAACGCCGGGAGGACUUCUUAGAGGGACAGGUGGCGGUUCAGCCGCACGAAAGAGAGCAAUAACAGGUCUGUGAUGCCCUUUGUUGUCCGGGGCCGCACGCGCGCUACACUGAAGAGAUCAGCGUGCUUUAUGUUCCUGCUCCGACCGGAGUGGGGAACCCAGUGAACCUUCUUCGUGAUUGGGAUAGAAGAUUGUAAUUAUUCUUCUUGAACGAGGAAUUCCCAGUAAAUGCGAGUCAUAAGCUCGCGUUGAUUACGUCCCUGCCCUUUGUACACACCGCCCGUCGCUACUACCGAUUGAACGAUUU